rnacentral:antisense_RNA from 2 species
UGUGGGAGCGAGCUUGCUCGCGAUGGUGUAUCAGAUAAGUUGGUGUCGACUGACACUCCAUCGCGAGCAGGCUCGCUCCCACA